ACGUGGGUAACCUGCCCUUAAGUGGGGGAUAACAUUUGGAAACAGAUGCUAAUACCGCAUAGAUCCAAGAACCGCAUGGUUCUUGGCUGAAAGAUGGCGUAAGCUAUCGCUUUUGGAUGGACCCGCGGCGUAUUAGCUAGUUGGUGAGGUAAUGGCUCACCAAGGCGAUGAUACGUAGCCGAACUGAGAGGUUGAUCGGCCACAUUGGGACUGAGACACGGCCCAAACUCCUACGGGAGGCAGCAGUAGGGAAUCUUCCACAAUGGACGCAAGUCUGAUGGAGCAACGCCGCGUGAGUGAAGAAGGCUUUCGGGUCGUAAAACUCUGUUGUUGGAGAAGAAUGGUCGGCAGAGUAACUGUUGUCGGCGUGACGGUAUCCAACCAGAAAGCCACGGCUAACUACGUGCCAGCAGCCGCGGUAAUACGUAGGUGGCAAGCGUUAUCCGGAUUUAUUGGGCGUAAAGCGAGCGCAGGCGGUUUUUUAAGUCUGAUGUGAAAGCCCUCGGCUUAACCGAGGAAGCGCAUCGGAAACUGGGAAACUUGAGUGCAGAAGAGGACAGUGGAACUCCAUGUGUAGCGGUGAAAUGCGUAGAUAUAUGGAAGAACACCAGUGGCGAAGGCGGCUGUCUGGUCUGUAACUGACGCUGAGGCUCGAAAGCAUGGGUAGCGAACAGGAUUAGAUACCCUGGUAGUCCAUGCCGUAAACGAUGAAUGCUAGGUGUUGGAGGGUUUCCGCCCUUCAGUGCCGCAGCUAACGCAUUAAGCAUUCCGCCUGGGGAGUACGACCGCAAGGUUGAAACUCAAAGGAAUUGACGGGGGCCCGCACAAGCGGUGGAGCAUGUGGUUUAAUUCGAAGCAACGCGAAGAACCUUACCAGGUCUUGACAUCUUUUGAUCACCUGAGAGAUCAGGUUUCCCCUUCGGGGGCAAAAUGACAGGUGGUGCAUGGUUGUCGUCAGCUCGUGUCGUGAGAUGUUGGGUUAAGUCCCGCAACGAGCGCAACCCUUAUGACUAGUUGCCAGCAUUUAGUUGGGCACUCUAGUAAGACUGCCGGUGACAAACCGGAGGAAGGUGGGGAUGACGUCAAAUCAUCAUGCCCCUUAUGACCUGGGCUACACACGUGCUACAAUGGAUGGUACAACGAGUUGCGAGACCGCGAGGUCAAGCUAAUCUCUUAAAGCCAUUCUCAGUUCGGACUGUAGGCUGCAACUCGCCUACACGAAGUCGGAAUCGCUAGUAAUCGCGGAUCAGCACGCCGCGGUGAAUACGUUCCCGGGCCUUGUACACACCGCCCGUCACACCAUGAGAGUUUGUAACACCCGAAGCCGGUGGCGUAACCCUUUUAGGGAGCGAGCCGUCUAAGGUGGGACAAAUGAUUAGGGUGAAGUCGUAACAAGGUAGCCGUAGGAGAACCUGCGGCUG
rnacentral:rRNA from 2 species